UACGUAGGGUGCGAGCGUUAAUCGGAAUUACUGGGCGUAAAGCGUGCGCAGGCGGUUUUGUAAGCCAGAUGUGAAGUCCCCGGGCUUAACCUGGGAAUGGCAUUUGGGACUGCAAGGCUUGAGUGCGGCAGAGGAGACUGGAAUUCCUGGUGUAGCAGUGAAAUGCGUAGAUAUCAGGAGGAACACCGAUGGCGAAGGCGGUCGUCUGGGCAGAUACUGACGCUGAGGUGCGAAAGCGUGGGGAGCAAACAGG
rnacentral:rRNA from 1 species